GAACACAGCUCUGGUAGCACCUGCAAUCUCAUCUUGUUUCUUCCCAAGCGCCUGGGAAGAAAAGCAAUUUGUUUGCUCUCAUACUCUAAAGAUGAACUUCCCGUGCUCAAUCAAACGUUAUUAUCCCAAUUGUCUACUCUGAGACAACACACCAUAGCUGAGGCCCACAUGAACCUACUUGGGAAUGUACUGUACUGCUAUAUUGGGAAGUAAUUGCAGUUGUACUGUUGUGUCAAGAUUGAAUUAUCAGCAAAAGGUUCCAGAUGCUAGCAUGAUGCUGACCAGACUUCCCUGGACAGACAACACCACCAAUAUGUCCUGGAGCUUCGGUUCCCCAGAGCCCUUCCCCACUAGGGAAAAAGAGAGACAGGCUGGGAGUAUGGAUCGGCCUGUCAACGCCCAUGUUCAGCGGGGAAGCAAUUACAGAAGCCAGACCUUCCACCUUCUGCAUCCCAAUGACUGUGGGUCCAUACUCCCAGAGGGAUAAAAAGGAAAGCUAUCAGGGGAGGGGAUGGGAUACAGAGUUCUGGUGGUGGGAAUUGUGCGAAGCUGUACCCCUCUUAUCCUAUGGUUU